GCGACCUCAGUUGAGUCAGGAAUACCCGCUGAGUUUAAGCAUA
rnacentral:rRNA from 1 species